UACGUAGGGUGCAAGCGUUGUCCGGAAUUAUUGGGCGUAAAGAGCUCGUAGGCGGUUUGUCGCGUCGAAUGUGAAAUCCCGGGGCUCAACCCCGGGUCUGCAUUCGAUACGGGCAGACUAGAGUUCGGUAGGGGAGUCUGGAAUUCCUGGUGUAGCGGUGGAAAUGCGCAGAUAUCAGGAGGAACACCGGUGGCGAAGGCGGGACUCUGGGCCGAUACUGACGCUGAGGAGCGAAAGCGUGGGGAGCAAACAGG
rnacentral:rRNA from 1 species